UUUUUAGGUUAGCUUUGAAAACUUUCCAAUUGUUGUCGAGUUGUUUGCACUUCUUAAUUUCUUUUGAUAUUUUUUUCAUACAUUAAUUUUGUUAUAUUUGUUUGU